rnacentral:lncRNA from 1 species
UAAGCUUAUGCUCUCCUCUCAAGAUGCAUUAAAGCUUUACUGCAGAAGGAUCCGAAUGUCCUGUGUCGUUCUUGCUGGCGAGGCGAUAGCGCAGGACAUCUGGUGCUGAAACCCGGGAACUUGUUAACAUCGCCGGCACUGCAGAGACCCCUCUAACGGGGCGGAUUCAGAACUGCAGGGUGGUAUUGAAAGACCCCAACUCAAGCCUAGCAUGAUACCCACCAGCAUGUAUUUAAAAGUCACUCUGGCCACACACAGCUCUGGGACAAAGAACACAUGAAAUGGUACUGUUUCCUUGGUGUCGUCCACCCCUUCUGGAUCAUGUAAUCUCACUACCUUCUUUUCUGCAUAGCUCCCUGUGCACUGAUGAGAAAGGUUUGAUGAAGAUAUUCCAAUUACAAUUGAGUAUUCUAAUGUCUCAUCCUGUCCUACAAGUCCCUAAAUAAUACAAUUUUAACAUGAAUGUUCCAGAGUCCUCAUCCAGUGGCUGAUGAGAGCAGAGACAGACAUCCACAGAAAUACACUGAGCUGAAAUCUGGAACUCAGUUGAAGAGAAGGAGGAAUGAAGAACGAAGGGGUCUGUACCUGGUUGGAGAAACCCACAGAAACAUUUGGCCUGAAAAAGGGAAAGCAUAUCGACCCCAGAUGCUCUUUGGGAGGACAGUACAGGACUAAUCCAGCCCCCUGAUCAUGGAUGCCAAUGGGGAGGCCCCUGCACUCCUGGGAGCCUCUGGAG